UACAGAGGUCUCAAGCGUUGUUCGGAUUGAUUGGUGCGUAAAGGGUGCGUAGGUGGCGUCGUAAGUCGGGUGUGAAAUUUCGGAGCUUAACUCCGAAACUGCAUUCGAUACUGCGGUGCUUGAGGACUGGAGAGGAGACUGGAAUUUACGGUGUAGCAGUGAAAUGCGUAGAGAUCGAUAAGGAAGACCAGUGGCGAAGGCGGGUCGUCUGGACAGUUCCUGACACUGAGGCACGAAGGCCAGGGGAGCAAACGGG
rnacentral:rRNA from 1 species